GAUGAACGCUGGCGGCGUGCCUAAUACAUGCAAGUCGAGCGAACAGACGAGGAGCUUGCUCCUCUGACGUUAGCGGCGGACGGGUGAGUAACACGUGGAUAACCUACCUAUAAGACUGGGAUAACUUCGGGAAACCGGAGCUAAUACCGGAUAAUAUAUUGAACCGCAUGGUUCAAUAGUGAAAGACGGUUUUGCUGUCACUUAUAGAUGGAUCCGCGCCGCAUUAGCUAGUUGGUAAGGCAACGGCUUACCAAGGCAACGAUGGGGAGCCGACCUGGGAGGGUGAGCGGCCACACUGGAACUGAGACACGGUCCAGACUCCUACGGGAGGCAGCAGUAGGGAAUCUUCCGCAAUGGGCGAAAGCCUGACGGAGCAACGCCGCGUGAGUGAUGAAGGUCUUCGGAUCGUAAAACUCUGUUAUUAGGGAAGAACAAAUGUGUAAGUAACUAUGCACGUCUUGACGGUACCUAAUCAGAAAGCCACGGCUAACUACGUGCCAGCAGCCGCGGUAA
rnacentral:rRNA from 1 species